rnacentral:rRNA from 1 species
AAGUCGUAACAAGGUUUCCGUAGGUGAACCUGCGGAAGGAUCAUUAACGAAUUCAUUUGGAGUUGUGCUGGUUCUUACAAGUGCACGCUCCUUACAAUUCCAUUCACACCCAUGUGCACUUUAAGAGACGUAUCUCCCCCGUUUACGUGCCUUUAUUGGCUCGGGAUUUCGUCUAUUUAACACACUCUUUGUAAUAGAAUGUCAAUUGGCUUAAUUGCCUAAAACUUUAAAUAUAACUUUCAACAACGGAUCUCUUGGUUCUCGCAUCGAUGAAGAACGCAGCGAAAUGCGAUAAGUAAUGUGAAUUGCAGAAUUCAGUGAAUCAUCGAAUCUUUGAACGCACCUUGCACUCCUUGGUAUUCCGAGGAGUAUGCCUGUUCGAGUGUCAUGAAACUCUCAAACCUCAUCUUCGUUGAUGACGGGCUUGGAUUUGGACGUUGCUGGACUUCACGGUUCGGCUCGUCUUGAAUGCAUUAGCUGACGAUUUCGACUUCAGUUAAACCGUGUGAUAAUACAUCACGCGGGCAGCCGUCAAGGCGCUGGGUCGUCAUUCGAAGGCUUCUAACCGUCCCUUCGAGGACCGCCUUUACUGGCGUUCAUUUCACAUCUGGCCUCGAAUCAGGUAGGACUACCCGCUGAACUUAAGCAUAUCAAUAAGCGGAGGAAAAGAAACUAACAAGGAUUCCCCUAGUAACGGCGAGUGAAGCGGGAAGAGCUCAAAUUUUAAAUCUGGCGGUCUCAGGCCGUCGAGUUGUAAUCUAGAGAAGUGUUAUCUGUGCCGGACCGCAUGUAAGUCUCCUGGAACGGAGCGUCAUAGAGGGUGAGAAUCCCGUCUGUAAUGCGGACUACCGGUGCUCUACGAUGCGCUCUCAAAGAGUCGAGUUGUUUGGGAAUGCAGCUCAAAAUGGGAGGUAAAUUCCUUCUAAAGCUAAAUAUUGGCGAGAGACCGAUAGCGAACAAGUACCGUGAGGGAAAGAUGAAAAGCACUUUGGAAAGAGAGUCAAACAGUACGUGAAAUUGUUGAAAGGGAAACGCUUGAAGUCAGUCGCGUCUUCUGGGAUUCAGCCUUGCUUUUGCUUGGUGCAUUUCCUAGUUUGACGGGUCAACAUCGAUUUCGACCGUUGGAUAAGGGUUUGAGGAAUGUGGCACCUCCGGGUGUGUUAUAGCCUCUUAUCGUAUACAUCGGCUGGGAUCGAGGAACUCAGCAUGCCAUUAUGGUCGGGGUUCGCCCACGUAACAUGCUUAGGAUGUUGGCAUAAUGGCUUUAAGCGACC